UCAGAAGGAAACACCUGGUCACUCAGAAGGGAACACUAGGUAAGGCCUGGUCACUCAGAAGGGAACACUAGGUAAGGCCUGGUCACUCAGAAGGGAACACUAGGUAAGGUCUGGUCACUCAGAAGGAAACACUAGGUAAGGCCUGGUCACUCAGAAGGGAACACUAGGUAAGGCCUGGUCACUCAGAAGGGAACACUAGGUAAGGCCUGGUCACUCAGAAGGAAACACUAGGUAAGGCCUGGUCACUGUGGUUCCUUGACUUCCUUAACUUUGCAGUAUCAAUCAAUCAAAUUGUAUUUAUAUAGCCCUUCGUACAUCAGCUGAUAUCUCAAAGUGCUGUACAGAAACCCAGCCUAAAACCCCAAACAGCAAGCAAUGCAGGUGUAGAAGCACCUGCAGUACAUUAGUGAUAUAGUUUCUCCAGACAUUGGAUGACACUUCUGUGAUCAUGUCAACCAUAACGGCAUCUGAAAAACCUUUUAUCUCAAUGUAUGUCUGUUUUGUUAGUUAUUCUCCUUCAUCUACUGUGAACAUAUAAUAACUUUAGUGUAGGACCAGUCAUAAGAACUUUAGUGUAGGACCAGUCAUAAUAACUUUAGUGAUGGACCAGUCAUAAUAACUUUAGUGUAGGACCAGUCAUAAUAACUUUAGUGUAGGACCAGUCAUAAGAACUUUAGUGUAGGACCAGUCAUAAGAACUUUAGUGUAGGACCAGUCAUAAUAACUUUAGUGUAGGACCAGUCAUAAUAACUUUAGUGAUGGACCAGUCAUAAUAACUUUAGUGUAGGACCAGUCAUAAGAACUUUAGUGUAGGACCAGUCAUAAGAACUUUAGU